AAGGCAUCUAUUAGCUUUCUAAGUUGCUUUCCUGUUCAUCGGUCAGGGUUCUAAGCGUUACACCCACGCGCGUUCUUAGCACGGAUUCACUUUCCCAUGCCCGAGCCUCACUAGGCGUUACACCCAUGCGCAUUCUUACCACGGAUUCACUUUCCAGUGCCCGAGCCUCACUAGGCGUUACACCCGCGCGCGUUCUUAGCACGGAUUCACUUUCCCAUGCCCGAGCCUCACUAGGCGUUACACUCACGCGCGUUCUUAGCACGGAUUCACUUUCCCGUGCCCGAGCCUCACUAGGCAUUACACUCACGCGCGUUCUUAGCACGGAUUCACUUUCCAGUGCCCGAGCCUCACUAGGCGUUACACCCACGUGCGUUCUUAGCACGGAUUCACUUUCCCGUGCCCGAGCCUCACUAGGCGUUACACUCACACGCGUUCUUAGCACGGAUUCACUUUCCCAUGCCCGAGCCUCACUAGGCGUUGCACCCACGCGCAUUCUUACCACGGA